rnacentral:rRNA from 1 species
CAGGCUUAACACAUGCAAGUCGAGGGGCAGCAUGGUCUUAGCUUGCUAAGGCCGAUGGCGACCGGCGCACGGGUGAGUAACACGUAUCCAACCUGCCGUCUACUCUUGGACAGCCUUCUGAAAGGAAGAUUAAUACAAGAUGGCAUCAUGAGUCCGCAUGUUCACAUGAUUAAAGGUAUUCCGGUAGACGAUGGGGAUGCGUUCCAUUAGAUAGUAGGCGGGGUAACGGCCCACCUAGUCUUCGAUGGAUAGGGGUUCUGAGAGGAAGGUCCCCCACAUUGGAGCUGAGACACGGUCCAAACUCCUACGGGAGGCAGCAGUGAGGAAUAUUGGUCAAUGGGCGAGAGCCUGAACCAGCCAAGUAGCGUGAAGGAUGACUGCCCUAUGGGUUGUAAACUUCUUUUAUAAAGGAAUAAAGUCGGGUAUGGAUACCCGUUUGCAUGUACUUUAUGAAUAAGGAUCGGCUAACUCCGUGCCAGCAGCCGCGGUAAUACGGAGGAUCCGAGCGUUAUCCGGAUUUAUUGGGUUUAAAGGGAGCGUAGAUGGAUGUUUAAGUCAGUUGUGAAAGUUUGCGGCUCAACCGUAAAAUUGCAGUUGAUACUGGAUAUCUUGAGUGCAGUUGAGGCAGGCGGAAUUCGUGGUGUAGCGGUGAAAUGCUUAGAUAUCACGAAGAACUCCGAUUGCGAAGGCAGCCUGCUAAGCUGCAACUGACAUUGAGGCUCGAAAGUGUGGGUAUCAAACAGGAUUAGAUACCCUGGUAGUCCACACGGUAAACGAUGAAUACUCGCUGUUUGCGAUAUACUGCAAGCGGCCAAGCGAAAGCGUUAAGUAUUCCACCUGGGGAGUACGCCGGCAACGGUGAAACUCAAAGGAAUUGACGGGGGCCCGCACAAGCGGAGGAACAUGUGGUUUAAUUCGAUGAUACGCGAGGAACCUUACCCGGGCUUAAAUUGCAGAUGAAUUACGGUGAAAGCCGUAAGCCGCAAGGCAUCUGUGAAGGUGCUGCAUGGUUGUCGUCAGCUCGUGCCGUGAGGUGUCGGCUUAAGUGCCAUAACGAGCGCAACCCUUGUUGUCAGUUACUAACAGGUUCCGCUGAGGACUCUGACAAGACUGCCAUCGUAAGAUGUGAGGAAGGUGGGGAUGACGUCGAAUCAGCACGGCCCUUACGUCCGGGGCUACACACGUGUUACAAUGGGGGGUACAGAGGGCCGCUACCACGCGAGUGGAUGCCAAUCCCCAAAACCUCUCUCAGUUCGGACUGGAGUCUGCAACCCGACUCCACGAAGCUGGAUUCGCUAGUAAUCGCGCAUCAGCCACGGCGCGGUGAAUACGUUCCCGGGCCUUGUACACACCGCCCGUCAAGCCAUGGGAGCCGGGGGUACCUGAAGUGCGUAACCGCGAGGAGCGCCCUAGGGUAAAACUGGUGACUGGGGCUAAGUCGUA